GUCACUGGGCAGACGUCACCCCGACAACAUCUCUGUCCAGCUCGCUUCCACCGCUAUCUCGGCCGCUACCACCUACUCCUCCGCGAAAAAAAAAAUCAUGUGAUAACAGAACGAACUCAUAAAACAAACACAUAAAAUAAUAAAGAAUCAAAAGAAAAAAGAAAAGAAAAAGAUAAACAGUGAUGAUAAAAAAUUAAGACCAAAUAUCCCCUCUUUGCAUGAAGGUCUAAGAAACGAAACGACCAAAGAAACAAACUAACAAUAAAAUAAAUUAAACACAUAAAGAUAUCAAUAAAAGACAGAACAGAAAGAGGAAGGAAAAGAAAGGAAGAAUAGAUAAGGUGUUGUGAAUGAAAAUCUUCAAAAUUUAAAAGAAAUUCGGACCAAGAGCAGCGGUGAAGCCUGUCCCUCCCGAAACCGUUGGCAUGCGGUGCUACACGGGCGUGAUGGGCGCCAGGAGACAUGUUUCGGCGUGGGCGUGGGUGGUGCCCGUGCUGUUGGCGACGCAUGGUGAGUGUUUGAGUUUUGAUCGUGUAUUUUGCCUCUUCUGUCUUUGAGAACCGGUUAUAUUCAUACAAA
rnacentral:lncRNA from 1 species